rnacentral:rRNA from 1 species
CAGCCGCCGCGGUAAUACGUAGGUGGCAAGCGUUGUCCGGAAUUAUUGGGCGUAAAGGGCUCGCAGGCGGUUUCUUAAGUCUGAUGUGAAAGCCCCCGGCUCGACCGGGGAGGGUCAUUGGAAACUGGGAAACUUGAGUGCAGAAGAGGAGAGUGGAAUUCCACGUGUAGCGGUGAAAUGCGUAGAGAUGUGGAGGAACACCAGUGGCGAAGGCGACUCUCUGGUCUGUAACUGACGCUGAGGAGCGAAAGCGUGGGGAGCGAACAGGAUUAGAUACCCGCGUAGUCCCUGUCUCUUAUCA